GCGAGUGAAGCGGCAAAAGCUCAAAUUUGAAAUCUAGCACCUUCGGUGUUCGAGUUGUAAUUUGAAGAUGGUAACCUUGGGUUUGGCUCUUGUCUAUGUUCCUUGGAACAGGACGUCAUAGAGGGUGAGAAUCCCGUCUGAUGAGAUGCCCAUUCCUAUGUAAGGUGCUAUCGAAGAGUCGAGUUGUUUGGGAAUGCAGCUCUAAGUGGGUGGUAAAUUCCAUCUAAAGCUAAAUAUUGGCGAGAGACCGAUAGCGAACAAGUACAGUGAUGGAAAGAUGAAAAGAACUUUGAAAAGAGAGUGAAAAAGUACGUGAAAUUGUUGAAAGGGAAGGGCAUUAGAUCAGACUUGGUGUUUUACGAUUAUCUUCUCUUCUUGAGUUGUGCACUCGUAUUUCACUGGGCCAGCAUCGAUUCGGAUGGCAAGAUAAUGGCAGUUGAAUGUGGCUUCACUUCGGUGGAGUGUUAUAGCUUCUGCUGAUAUUGCCUGUCUGGAUCGAGGGCUGCGUCUUUUGACUAGGAUGCUGGCGUAAUGAUCUAAUGCCGCCCGUCUUG
rnacentral:rRNA from 1 species